CCAAGUUUGAGGCCAGCCUCAUCUACAUGACAAGUUCAAAACAAAAAUAAAAGUAAAAAUAAAAAAGCCAAGUGUGGACUUGGCUGUCUUCUCCAGAAAACCAAAUGGUCCCUUCCCUUGAUUCUUAGAAGCCCUUUCACAGGGUAACCCAAGCGUCAAAUCCCUGUGCUCCUCCCAAACCCCCUGAGACUUUAUCACCCUUUCACUCUGAAGAACUCAUCUUUGCAACCUUCUAUUGAGUGGGGCCUAACUAAGACUGAAGAUCUGUGUCUUAGGUGAGAAAAGAGAUUCCUCAGGGCCCUGAGAGUCUUUUACCUUCGAGGCUGCCUGAACUCUGCACUUAGUGGAAGUUCAGUUUGUGAGCUGACAUUCCAGGUUAUGACAAACACUGAUAAGGAAGGAAGAAGACAGACCUGAGCAUGUCAGCCUUGCUGACAACUCCACACCCCCCAGCCUCCUACCCACUGAAUCACACAUGCCUGCUGCCAGUCCCAGGAGUUAGCAGCUCCUCCUGGGUGGCUGCCAACCCCAGGAAGAGACUCUCCCAUCAGUGCAGUGGUGCGUCAGGUAAAUCUCAACCCUGGAGUGGAGACAUCUGGCCUCCUGGAAGCAGAAAUGAGUGUCAGACAAGGAAAACGAGACCUCCAGAGGUGAGCUGUUUGCUAAAGAUGGCGAACAGUGUGGACAACAGAUCUGCGAUCCUGGCCGUCCCUGUUGCAGAAACCAGUCUAACCUUCAAGAGGAUGAACACGGAACAUUGAAGGCAAAUGGACCGACUGAAUGCUUUCUUUUUAACAGCUUCUGUACCUGCUACCUUUGCCUUGGGGGUCUGACUCUCUCACAGAGUGCUCCAGAUUUCCUAAUGAUUGAGAAAGAAUGCUAGGUGGUGUCUGCUUUUGCAAAGGGCUUUGGUUGCACAGGCGUUGUAAAUGUCUGGCACUGUGUCCAGCACAGGCCACAAGGACAUACAAGUAGAUCGGUCAGAACAUGUGGCGUUCUUGGCUCUGUUUCGAAAGGAAGCCGAAUUAACCAUAUAUAAUCUUGAUCCCUCAGCAAACAUGUUCAAACUCCCUAUGUGGAUAAGUAUGUCCUUGAACUUCUGAUCUUCAAGCCUCUGUGGG
rnacentral:lncRNA from 1 species